GUGAGAGAGAGAGAUAGUGAGUGUGAGAGAGAGAUAGUGAGAGAGAGAGAGAGAUAGUGAGUGUGAGAGAGAGAGAUAGUGAGUGUGUGAGAGAGAGAUAGUGAGUGUGAGAGAGAGAGAGAUAGUGAGUGUGAGAGAGAGAUAGUGAGAGAGAGAGAGAGUAGUGAGAGAGAGAGAGAUAGUGAGUGUGUGAGAGAGAUAGUGAGUGUGAGAGAGAGAGAUAGUGAGUGUGAGAGAGAGAUAGUGAGUGUGAGAGAGAGAUAUGAGUGUGAGAGAGAGAGAUAGUGAGUGUGAGAGAGAGAGAUAGUGAGUGUGAGAGAGAGAUAGUGAGUAAUUCUAUUACGGCUGGAAGAUAUAAUGUUGAUAAUAUCGUCACGUCUGUAACACUGAUACUGAGUAACACCUUCAUUGUUCCUCACUAAUUACUAAGGAAUGAAGCACGACAGGUGUGCUAAUAUACACAAACUAACCGACGACUAUUUUCCUACACCGGCA
ensembl:lncRNA